UACAGAGGUCCCAAGCGUUGUUCGGAUUCACUGGGCGUAAAGGGGUGCGUAGGCGGUCGGGGUAAGUCUGAUGUGAAAUCUCACAGCUUAACUGUGAAACUGCAUUGGAUACUAUCCGGCUCGAGGAAUGGAGGGGAGACUGGAAUACUUGGUGUAGCAGUGAAAUGCGUAGAUAUCAAGUGGAACACCAGUGGCGAAGGCGAGUCUCUGGACAUUUCCUGACGCUGAGGCACGAAAGCCAGGGGAGCAAACGGG
rnacentral:rRNA from 1 species